CGUCGCCGCUUAUGGAUCUUACUUGGUAAAACUAUCGAGUCCCGUGUAUGCACGGAAUCGCGUGGAAUCGGUUGGAACAGUGGCCGAGAUAAUUAAUAGUUUCGAUCGAUAGAGAUCCACUCGAAGUGCUAUCUCGAAAGCACUAGCGUGUGUCGCUUUGUGUCUCUGUAGAAAGUGUGCAUAUUACAGUAUCAUUUUCCUCUGGACUUUUUCCUUCUUUUCAGACCUUUCACCGUCUUCGACCGACUGUUUCGAGGAAUACGCGUCCCUCCGAGACAGUUCCUCUCGUUAACGGGAUAAUAAGAACAACGAUCUAACGGGGCCUCGUUUGUUUCAUUAAAGGGAAUCUCUGAUUCGAAGGAAGGUUCUUAGGAAUCGUGCAUCUAUCCGCGGUAAACUACGUAAAGUGUGGAGAGGAAGAAAGGGUAACAAGAGAUUUCUUCUCGAAGAAAAAUUUUAUUUUUAUUUUUAGUAAUAGCUUUUCCAUAAUAAUUCAUCGUUUCAUAGAUCGAGAUUGAACACAGUUCUCCGUUAAGAAAUUAAUUAUUCAUCAGCGAAACGAAGUUAUAGCGCAUCGUUGAGAAAGCGUAAUUUUUACUCGGAUCGAUAAUUUUGUUUCGCGAUUAAAUCAUACACGAAUUCGAAGAAGAUGCUCGUUCGAUCACCGAAUUCCGUAAAAAUGAACGUUUCUCGCUUCUUGCGAAUCCCAACAGUUCGAAUAUAUACUUUCGUAUCGCUCAUUAAGAACAGUACGAACAGAAGCGACACGAUUUUCAAAUGCGUUCCUAAUCGCAAUUAAACAUCGUUCUACUCGUCGAGCAACACGGCCCCGAUGUUUCCUCUUUGAUUCCAACGAAAACAGUAGAAAUAUAUAAGAACGCGU